AGUCGAACGGAAAGGCUUCUUCGGAGGUACUCGAGUGGCGAACGGGUGAGUAACACGUGGGCAAUCUGCCCUGCACUUCGGGAUAAGCCUGGGAAACUGGGUCUAAUACCGGAUAGGACCUCAAGACGCAUGUCUUCUGGUGGAAAGCUUUUGCGGUGUGGGAUGGGCCCGCG
rnacentral:rRNA from 1 species